CCUACGGGUGGCAGCAGUCGAGAAUCAUUCACAAUGGGGGAAACCCUGAUGGUGCGACGCCGCGUGGGGGAAUGAAGGUCUUCGGAUUGUAAACCCCUGUCAUGUGGGAGCAAAUUAAAAUGAUAGUACCACAAGAGGAAGAGACGGCUAACUCUGUGCCAGCAGCCGCGGUAAUACAGAGGUCUCAAGCGUUGUUCGGAAUCACUGGGCGUAAGGGGUGCGGAGGCUGUUUCGUAAGUCGUGUGUGAAUGGCCCGGGCUCAACCCGCGGACGGCACAUGAUACUGCGAGACUAGAGUGAUGGAGGGGGAACUGGAAUUCUCGGUGUAGCAGUGAAAUGCGUAGAUAUCGGGAGGAACACUCGUGGCGAAGGCGGGUUCCUGGACAUUAACUGACGCUGAGGCACGAAGGCCAGGGGAGCGAAAGGGAUUAGAUACCCGAGUAGUC
rnacentral:rRNA from 1 species